rnacentral:tRNA from 1 species
GCCUUCCUGGUGUAGUGAUCAGCACACUCGGCUCGUAUUCGAGAGGUCCGUGGUUCGAGUCCCGGCGAGGGCA